AGUUGGUAAGGUAACGGCUUACCAAGGCAACGAUGCAUAGCCGACCUGAGAGGGUGAUCGGCCACACUGGAACUGAGACACGGUCCAGACUCCUACGGGAGGCAGCAGUAGGGAAUCUUCCGCAAUGGGCGAAAGCCUGACGGAGCAACGCCGCGUGAGUGAUGAAGGUCUUCGGAUCGUAAAACUCUGUUAUUAGGGAAGAACAUAUGUGUAAGUAACUGUGCACAUCUUGACGGUACCUAAUCAGAAAGCCACGGCUAACUACGUGCCAGCAGCCGCGGUAAUACGUAGGUGGCAAGCGUUAUCCGGAAUUAUUGGGCGUAAAGCGCGCGUAGGCGGUUUUUUAAGUCUGAUGUGAAAGCCCACGGCUCAACCGUGGAGGGUCAUUGGAAACUGGAAAACUUGAGUGCAGAAGAGGAAAGUGGAAUUCCAUGUGUAGCGGUGAAAUGCGCAGAGAUAUGGAGGAACACCAGUGGCGAAGGCGACUUUCUGGUCUGUAACUGACGCUGAUGUGCGAAAGCGUGGGGAUCAAACAGGAUUAGAUACCCUGGUAGUCCACGCCGUAAACGA
rnacentral:rRNA from 1 species